rnacentral:rRNA from 1 species
GGUCUUAGCACAGUCAAUUCAUUAUCGUCGAGGCGAACCGGGGGAACUGAAACAUCUAAGUACCCCGAGGAAAAGAAAUCAACCGAGAUUCCGAAAGUAGCGGCGAGCGAAAUUGGACUAGCCCUUAAGCUUUACACGCGUUAGACGAACGGUCUGGAAAGUCCGACGAUACAGGGUGAUAGUCCCGUAGUUGACGAUGUGUGUUCAGUGAAAUCGAGUAGGGCGGGACACGUGUUAUCCUGUCUGAAUAUGGGGGGACCAUCCUCCAAGGCUAAAUACUACUGACUGACCGAUAGUGAACCAGUACCGUGAGGGAAAGGCGAAAAGAACCCCUGUGAGGGGAGUGAAAUAGAACCUGAAACCGUGUACGUACAAGCAGUAGGAGCAGGCUUUGUCCUGUGACUGCGUACCUUUUGUAUAAUGGGUCAGCGACUUAUAUUCAGUGGCAAGGUUAACCAUCUAGGGGAGCCGUAGGGAAACCGAGUCUUAACUGGGCGUUCAGUCUCUGGAUAUAGACCCGAAACCAGGUGAUCUAGCCAUGGGCAGGUUGAAGGUUGAGUAACAUCAACUGGAGGACCGAACCGACUAAUGUUGAAAAAUUAGCGGAUGACUUGUGGCUAGGGGUGAAAGGCCAAUCAAACCUGGAGAUAGCUGGUUCUCCCCGAAAGCUAUUUAGGUAGCGCCUCGGACGAAUACUACUGGGGGUAGAGCACUGUUAAGGCUAGGGGGUCAUCCCGACUUACCAACCCUUUGCAAACUCCGAAUACCAGUAAGUACUAUCCGGGAGACACACGGCGGGUGCUAACGUCCGUCGUGGAGAGGGAAACAACCCAGACCGCCAGCUAAGGUCCCAAAUUAUUACUAAGUGGGAAACGAUGUGGGAAGGCUUAGACAGCUAGGAUGUUGGCUUAGAAGCAGCCAUCAUUUAAAGAAAGCGUAAUAGCUCACUAGUCGAGUCGGCCUGCGCGGAAGAUGUAACGGGGCUAAGUAAUAAACCGAAGCUGCGGCAAUGAAGUUUACUUCAUUGGGUAGGGGAGCGUUCUGUAAGCCGUUGAAGGUGUGUUGUAAAGCAUGCUGGAGGUAUCAGAAGUGCGAAUGCUGACAUGAGUAACGAUAAAGGGGGUGAAAAACCUCCUCGCCGGAAGACCAAGGGUUCCUGUCCAACGUUAAUCGGGGCAGGGUAAGUCGACCCCUAAGGCGAGGCCGAAAGGCGUAGUCGAUGGGAAACGGGUUAAUAUUCCCGUACUUCUUACAAUUGCGAUGGGGGGACGGAGAAGGCUAGGUGGGCCUGGCGACGGUUGUCCAGGUUCAAGUGCGUAGGCUGAAAUUAGNNNNNNNNNNNNNNNNNNNNNNNNNNNNNNNNNNNNNNNNNNNNNNNNNNNNNNNNNNNNNNNNNNNNNNNNNNNNNNNNNNNNNNNNNNNNUCGCGGAUGGAGCUAUUGAGAGUCGCAGAUACCAGGUGGCUGCAACUGUUUAUUAAAAACACAGCACUGUGCAAAAUCGUAAGAUGACGUAUACGGUGUGACGCCUGCCCGGUGCCGGAAGGUUAAUUGAUGGGGUUAGACUUCGGUCGAAGCUCUUGAUCGAAGCCCCGGUAAACGGCGGCCGUAACUAUAACGGUCCUAAGGUAGCGAAAUUCCUUGUCGGGUAAGUUCCGACCUGCACGAAUGGCGUAAUGAUGGCCACGCUGUCUCCACCCGAGACUCAGUGAAAUUGAAAUCGCUGUGAAGAUGCAGUGUACCCGCGGCUAGACGGAAAGACCCCGUGAACCUUUACUACAGCUUGGCACUGAACAUUGACCCUACAUGUGUAGGAUAGGUGGGAGGCUUUGAAGCAAGUACGCCAGUAUUUGUGGAGCCGUCCUUGAAAUACCACCCUUGUAGUGUUGAUGUUCUAACGUCGACCCCUAAUCGGGGUUACGGACAGUGCCUGGUGGGUAGUUUGACUGGGGCGGUCUCCUCCCAAAGAGUAACGGAGGAGCACGAAGGUGGGCUAAUCACGGUUGGACAUCGUGAGGUUAGUGCAAUGGCAUAAGCCCGCUUAACUGCGAGAAUGACGGUUCGAGCAGGUGCGAAAGCAGGUCAUAGUGAUCCGGUGGUUCUGAAUGGAAGGGCCAUCGCUCAACGGAUAAAAGGUACUCCGGGGAUAACAGGCUGAUACCGCCCAAGAGUUCAUAUCGACGGCGGUGUUUGGCACCUCGAUGUCGGCUCAUCACAUCCUGGGGCUGAAGUCGGUCCCAAGGGUAUGGCUGUUCGCCAUUUAAAGUGGUACGCGAGCUGGGUUUAGAACGUCGUGAGACAGUUCGGUCCCUAUCUGCCGUGGGCGUUGGAGAAUUGAAAGGGGCUGCUCCUAGUACGAGAGGACCGGAGUGGACGAACCUCUGGUGUUCGGGUUGUGUCGCCAGACGCAUUGCCCGGUAGCUAAGUUCGGAAUCGAUAACCGCUGAAAGCAUCUAAGCGGGAAGCGAGCCUUGAGAUGAGUUCUCCCUGAUACUUUAAGUAUCCUAAAGGGUUGUCGGAGACUACGACGUUGAUAGGUCAGGUGUGUAAGUGCUGUGAGGCAUUGAGCUAACUGAUACUAAUUGCCCGUGAGGCUUAACCAUACAACACCCAAGGGGUU